ACAACUACUGUUUAUGUCAAACAGUGAAAAAAAAGAUUUUUUGCUAUGGAAGGGAGGAAAAUUUAUAGGAAGUUUAACCACAAUGCCUCUGGACUUCUGCAGAUUAAAGGUGGGGGAGUUUACCUUCAGGAUCACCAACUUUCUUGGUUGUAAACCAACUCUAAUCCACUUCCUUGAUCCUCCUGCGAUUGAUUAAUGCCAUGCUAAUCCUGUCCUGGCCAGGCACAAUGUGGAAAAGUGAAUGUACUACAUUUUCUACAAGAAAAGUAUUCAGGAAUCUAGAUCUCAAUCCAAGACACUUUAACCUUUGUGGAAGGGUCAGGACGAAACACUCAAUGAGAUUUACUGAGCUGCGAUAUCUACAGAAACAGCAAGGCAUCAACCUGAGCACAGGGUGAUGUUUUCUGAGGAAUUUCUGAGAGGCGCCUAAGAGAGAUGAGAAGCUGUAGGAGAAAAGGGUCACUUGAUUACUGCUGAGACCAAAACUUUGCAAUGGGAUGGCAGGACUUUGUGUGACCAGGGUCAUUUCAAGCUCUGAAGGAGCAUUUCCCAGUGUUGUAGUUCUUUUUUGCCAAAUUCAGCCCGGGUGCAAAUGAGACCUGUUCUGCUAAAGCUAUGCAAUGGGUGAGUUACCUUGCUGAGUAAGAACCACACACCAUUUCGUGAUUAACUGAUUUCUUACUCAAAAGCUUUCAGUACUUAAAGACUUCAGACUUAAAAGCUUUUUUGUCCCAUGUUUGACAUGGCAAUGUUCAGUUAAAGUAUCAUGUCCCUCUAAUUAUUGGUGCUUCAAACACAGUGAUGUUUUGCUUACAUCCAUUACUGAUCAUUCACUACUCCCAUUCAUCAUAAUCCUGGAUUGCUCUAGUUCACUCAACACUAAUUCUAACUGGCUUUCAUCGUUCCCAUGGAAAACAUACACCAACAAUUAAAUCUCUCAGCAAAGGACUCAACUCAUUUGGAGGUUUAUAAAAGCACUGAGGAAAAAAACCCCACCAUGUAUAUAUUUAUGAGAGCCACAGCAAUAAGUAUGUAAAUCUCUGAUAACAAUGCAGAUAAUUCCAUCAGUGGUGAAAAGUUAAUUUGAUGGGAUCUGGCAUUUAUAUUUCUGAUGCCAGACAGUGCAAUGCAUUUUAGAGUGGUGGGUCUAAAGAUUCUUGAGAGCUUCCUGGAAAACUUGAAAAGAAGAAUGAGAAGUGGGAAUGUGGGGAGACAAGGAAAAGGCACAUGCAGUUAUAUACAGAAGUAGAAAGUCACAUCUAGAUUACACAUAGAAAGUGUAAUCUAGAAAACAUUCCUUUACUAUAGUGAUAUAUUAUGAGUUAGUUAAAUGUUAUCUUUAGAAAGAGUAAAGUGCAUGCCAUUACUUUGAGGAAAGGAGAGUAGAUGCCCAAGGCAGAGAAAAUUUUGGCUCCCUCAUUUCUUACCCUUGCAGAGUUUGUGCAUACUGAACUCUGGCCAACACUCUCUACUGUCGAUCCAGCUCCAGCCACCUCCAACGACUUAUUUGAAGUCCUGCAGAAAAUCUGGGUGAGGGCUGAGGAAUAAAGCAAGCUCUCUGUCUUCUUGCCCCAUGCUGUAACCAUGAGACCACCCUCCCACAUAAAAGCCUGAAGAUAUCACAGUAUCAGGAGAAAGACAUUUCUAUAACUUUCCAUAUAUUUUAGCCUAAAUACCUUGGCAAUACUAGACCAUAAGCAGUGAGCGUAAUGGUUUGAGGGCUGAUGGCUCUGUCAAAGAAAUACUUACAUCGGGUUGAUACUAGCUUAAUAUGGUCUUUACUACUCCCAUUGUGAUGAUUUAUAUGUCCUUCCAAAUCCUGAAAGAAAGAAAUGAGGCUUAGCAUUACCUUUCUAAAGACUAUAAUUGUGUUUCUAUAAAGAAAGCAUAACUGGUGGAUAGCUUUCUAUGUGUAGAUAACCUUAGUAAUGAAGAAUUGUAAGUGGUACUCAUUCUGUGUAUGUGUAUACAAUAUGGAGUAAAAGGAACAAGAGAAAAGAGAAGGUGAGAGACUGCAGGAACAGAUCAGUUUGGUUGCAAAACUUGAAAAUCCCACUCUGCAAUAAGGGACCAUGCAGAAUAAAAUAUCAAAAUAGGAUUUGAUGAAGCUACUUCCUAGGUUACAUUCUAUAAGCUGUUGAACAAAAACAAUUCCCCAUGAUGUAGAAUGUUUGUAACUUGGAAAUUUUUAAAACUCACCAGUAUUGCAAAAGACACUGCAAGUUUGCAAGAAGGAUAUUUAGCAUCAGAGAAUGAUUUAGUUGGGAAGCAACCUCUGGAGGCAGGGCUAGCAUUAGGUGAGAUUUUGUGUUCAUUCAUGAAGUUCCCAAAACAAGACAAACAAGAUCUGCAGAUUUUAUUUUUUUUUUUUAAUUCUACCUGUAGGUUAUCUGUCACUGCUUCAACUACAGCAUAAACCUACCCUGACCCAGAGAUACCUCAUUUAUCCUUGUAGUCUCGAUUUACACUAGCUGCACACAAAACAGAGACGGUUUCAGAGAUUAGUUCCUCUACUGACCUUAUUUCAGUGCCUUCAAACAUCUCUAUUCUUCCGGCUCUCAUGAAGACCUGUUCCUCAAAGAAACAUUCUAAACCCCCAUGAAGUUCCUAUUACUUCCACCAUGGACCAGAACCACUUUGCCUUCAAGGCAAAUGCUGGAUAAAGCAGCCCUUAUUCUAAACAUCUUAUAUGUGGACUUUUAGCAUAAUGUUCUCCCAGUACUAGCUUUGGUAGCAGAAAGAGUUGUUCCCACCCACAUUUUCUGAUCUCAUAUUUGGUUUAUAUUUAUUCUGCGUACUGCAUUUCAUUUCAGAUACAAACUUGCCUGUCUCAGGACCUACAAAACAACUGAAAAUGGAUAAACAGCUUGGCCUUCUCUGGCCUUCCAGUAGUCCUUCCGUUACCCACAAGGAUUGUCUUUAUGUGAGGUACUAUAAUGCCAGUGUGUAUAAAUCACUACAGGAUAAACUAUGACUCUUUGGCAUCCUGAGCCUAAAGACCAGGUUUAAACUUCAGUCACCCACAUGCCUGAAAUCAGUGUGGGCCUUUGCAAGUGCCUGCAAUGCAAGCUUUGUCUUCUCUUUGAGAUGAAAAAAACCUUUGUAGUGAAAAAACAAGUGGAAGCUAGGUCAUGUUGUUGUUCUGGGAAAAGGGAGAAUUUGAAAACACAAAUACCUUCUGCAAGUUAAGAAUGAUUCCAUUGAUCUAUAAAAUUAUCUUAGUGCUGAUUUGUCUUACUGUGAGCUAUUUGUGUGUGUGUGGACAUGAUACCUUGGCAUAAUAUUUACUGAGUCCAAGCACAUUUUUAUCAUAUGCUUAGCUGCUGAAGUGAUGUAACUGCUGGAUGUACGAAGUCAUUAACAGGUUAAUGGUGGUAGUGGCCAAAAAAAGGGCUCACAAAUUGCCUCCUUCCCAAAACCUUCUCGAUUGUGGAGACGUCUCAGUACUGCAAGGAGAAAGUUAAGCUUGUAUCCAGUGAGGCAAGAGAUAUAUGUCCAGCUCCAGGGCAAAAAUGUGCAUGUUCAUCCCAUAUCACGUGGGGCUGGGAGGGAAUGGUGCCAGACCCUUGAGUCAUUCUGCAGUACAACAGGCAGAUUAUUUAAUGCAAAAAAAUGUAAACCACGAUAAAUGCGAGCAGAUUUUAGCUAUGAUACUCCAUGUAGCUUUCAAUGCAUGAAUUAAUUCUUUGAUGGAAGUAUGAGCUAUUUUCAUUGUUGACAGAUAAAUUUCUGUUCCUGUGGAUGGUUUUAUAAAAAUUGAUGAUGUAAAUAAAAAAUACUAACUUAA